rnacentral:rRNA from 1 species
UACGUAGGGUGCAAGCGUUGUCCGGAAUUAUUGGGCGUAAAGAGCUCGUAGGCGGUCUGUCGCGUCGGAUGUGAAACCUCGGGGCUCAACCCUGAGCCUGCAUUCGAUACGGGCAGACUAGAGUUCGGUAGGGGAGACUGGAAUUCCUGGUGUAGCGGUGAAAUGCGCAGAUAUCAGGAGGAACACCGGUGGCGAAGGCGGGUCUCUGGGCCGAUACUGACGCUGAGGAGCGAAAGCGUGGGGAGCGAACAGG